GUGCUUUCCUCAGCAACACACAUACUAAAACUGGAAUGAUACAGAGAAGGUAAGUAAGGUCCCUUAAUGCAAGAAUGACAUGCAAAUUUGUGAAGUGUUCCAUACAAAA